GUAGUCCACGCCCUAAACGAUGUCUACUAGUUGUUGGUGGAGUAAAAUCCAUGAGUAACGCAGCUAACGCGUGAAGUAGACCGCCUGGGGAGUACGGUCGCAAGAUUAAAACUCAAAUGAAUUGACGGGGGCCCGCACAAGCGGUGGAUUAUGUGGAUUAAUUCGAUGCAACGCGAAAAACCUUACCUGGCCUUGACAUGUAACGAACUUUCCAGAGAUGGAUUGGUGCUCGAAGGAGAACGUUAACACAGGUGAUGCAUGGCUGUCGUCAGCUCGUGUCGUGAGAUGUUGGGUUAAGUCCCGCAACGAGCGCAACCCUUGCCAUUAAUUGCCAUCAUUUAGUUGGGCACUUUAAUGGGACUGCCGGUGACAAACCAGAGGAAGGUGGGGAUGACGUCAAGUCCUCAUGGCCCUUAUGGCCAGGGCUUCACACGUAAUACAAUGGUCGGUACAGAGGGUUGCCAACCCGCGAGGGGGAGCCAAUCCCAGAAAGCCGAUCGUAGUCCGGAUUGUAGUCUGCAACUCGACUACAUGAAGUCGGAAUCGCUAGUAAUCGCGGAUCAGCAUGUCGCGGUGAAUA
rnacentral:rRNA from 1 species